rnacentral:rRNA from 1 species
GACGAACGCUGGCGGCGUGCUUAACACAUGCAAGUCGAGCGGUAAGGCCCUUUCGGGGGUACGACGAGCGGCGAACGGGUGGGUAACACGUGGGUGACCUGCCCUCCAGCUCUGGGAGUAAGCCUGGGAAACCGGGUCUAAUACUGGAUAUGACUCCAUGACGCAUGUUGUGGGGUGGAAAGCCUUGUGCGGCUGAGGAUGGGCCCGCGGCCUAUCAGCUUGUUGGUGGGGUGAGGCCUACCAAGGCGACGACGGGUAGCCGGCCUGAGAGGGCGACCGGCCACACUGGGACUGAGACACGGCCCAGACUCCUACGGGAGGCAGCAGUGGGGAAUCUUGCGCAAUGGGCGAAAGCCUGACGCAGCGACGCCGCGUGAGGGAUGACGGCC